rnacentral:rRNA from 1 species
UACAGAGGAGCCAAGCGUUGUCCGGAUUGACUGGGCGUAAAGCGCACGCAGGCGGUUGCGCGCGUGGGGUGUGAAAUCUGGCCGCUUAACGGCCAGGCGCCAUCCCAUACGGCGCGACUGGAGUGAUGCAGAGGUCGAUGGAAUUGCCGGUGUAGUGGUGAAAUGCGUAGAGAUCGGCAGGAACACCAGCGGCGAAGGCGGCACUCUGGGCUGGAACUGACGCUGAGGAGCGAAGGCG